GCUGGGCGUGGUGGCGCGUGCCUGUAAUCCCAGCUACUCAGGAGGCUGAGGUGGGAGAAUCCCUUGAACCCGGGAGGCGGGGGCUGCAGUGAGCCAGGAUCACGCCACUGCACUCCAGCCUGGGCAACAGAGCGAGACUCUGCCUCGA
rnacentral:SRP_RNA from 1 species